UACGUAGGUGGCAAGCGUUGUCCGGAUUGACUUGGCGUAAAGAGCGCGCAGGCGGUCGUUCAAGUCGCGUGUGAAAGCCCCCGGCUCAACUGGGGAGGGUCACGCGAUACUGAUCGACUCGAAGGCAGGAGAGGGUAGUGGAAUUCCCGGUGUAGUGGUGAAAUGCGUAGAUAUCGGGAGGAACACCAGUGGCGAAGGCGACUACCUGGCCUGUUCUUGACGCUGAGGCGCGAAAGCUAGGGGAGCAAACGGG
rnacentral:rRNA from 1 species